rnacentral:rRNA from 1 species
CCUACGGGUGGCAGCAGUGGGGAAUAUUGGACAAUGGGCGAAAGCCUGAUCCAGCCAUGCCGCGUGUGUGAAGAAGGCCUUCGGGUUGUAAAGCACUUUCAGUGGGGAAGAAAGCCUUGGGGCUAAUACCCUCGAGGAAGGACAUCACCCACAGAAGAAGCACCGGCUAACUCCGUGCCAGCAGCCGCGGUAAUACGGAGGGUGCGAGCGUUAAUCGGAAUUACUGGGCGUAAAGCGCGCGUAGGCGGUCUGAUAAGCCGGUUGUGAAAGCCCCGGGCUCAACCUGGGAACGGCAUCCGGAACUGUCAGGCUAGAGUGCAGGAGAGGAAGGUAGAAUUCCCGGUGUAGCGGUGAAAUGCGUAGAGAUCGGGAGGAAUACCAGUGGCGAAGGCGGCCUUCAGGACUGACACUGACGCUGAGGUGCGAAAGCGUGGGUAGCAAACAGGAUUAGAUACCCUAGUAGUC